UACGUAGGGUGCGAGCGUUAAUCGGAAUUACUGGGCGUAAAGUGUGCGCAGGCGGCGCCGCAAGUCGAGUGUGAAAGCCCCGGGCUUAACUUGGGAACUGCGCUCGAAACUAUGGUGCUGGAGUGUGGCAGAGGAAGGUGGAAUUCCACGUGUGGCGGUGAAAUGCGUAGAGAUGUGGAGGAACACCGAUGGCGAAGGCAGCCUUCUGGGCCAACACUGACGCUCAUGCACGAAAGCGUGGGGAGCAAACAGG
rnacentral:rRNA from 1 species